rnacentral:snoRNA from 1 species
AGCAGCUCUGUCAAAUUCAGUGCCUAUCCCACCAUGGCAGGCACUGGCCCAAAAGGCUGCCACAGUAAUGCUGUGACUCAUGGGCUCUGAUCCCCUCUUCUGGGCCUCAGAGAUAAAUUUGGUUACAGACACCA